GGGGAUUUAGCUCAGUGGGAUUUAGAGCGCUUGCCUAGCAAGCACAAGGCCCUGGGUUCGGUCCCCAGCUCCA
rnacentral:tRNA from 1 species